CUGCUGGGCGUGGGUCGCUACACCGUGCAAUACCCGGGGUCCUGGUGCUUCCUGACGCUGGGCGCCGAGUCCGGGGACGUGGCCUUCGGGCUGCUCUUCUCCAUGCUGGGCGGCCUCUCGGUCGGGCUGUCCUUCCUGCUGAACACGGUCAGCGUGGCCACCCUGUGCCACGUCUACCACGGGCAGGAGGCGGCCCAGCAGCGUCCCCGGGACUCCGAGGUGGAGAUGAUGGCUCAGCUCCUGGGGAUCAUGGUGGUGGCCAGCGUGUGUUGGCUGCCCCUGCUG
rnacentral:sRNA from 2 species